UAUGUGCGUGAGUUUUUAAUUUAAAAUGUCUUAACUUAACUCGGAAGGAUCUGAAUCACAGGUCAUUUCAUCUGAGAUCAUUCCUCAUGUAACAGCCGGAAUCACUCACUGUUUCCCACAACGACACAAGUCAUCAGCCGUUUCCUCAAGGUCACGUCAGAGCGGUGAUGAUGUGGAAAGGCAGAUCAGACCACCACCAUACGCGAAGAUGAGCCUCGAGGCGUGACAGUUAUUUUUUCAAACUGAGGAGUUCGGACUCCGGACCGGCAUUUCUGCUUGUUUGUACCCUGAGAUAACCAUGGUUAAUAAAUGGUCAGACACGUCACUGGCUUUAAAAUAUAAACCCCAUUGAUGCAAAAAGAUGCUGCGUGGAAUGACAAUGUGGUUUGGAACAGACUUGGUGAAGAACAUGGAAACAUCUCUUAAUAAAAUGGCCCCAAACAUCAUCAGG